ACAAAGCUGAGUGGUAAACACUCUCAAAGUAAAAGAUAUGCAGUGUGUGAUUAUUUUAUUAAAAAAAGCGUGUUCCUAGACAUGAUCAUCGCAGACUGAAUAGGUCCAAACAAGAGGUGUGGAAGUUACAGUCAAAGCUCAGAGGGUCUCAGUGAACCUAUGGAAUUUGGGGAGCUGCGCAUCGACGCUCCCAUGGGGUUUGUUGAAGCGUCAGGGGUGGCGAAACAGAGCUCCCAGUCACAGCGACAGUGCUUUCAGGAAUGCUGAGGAAUCUCCCAACAAGGACACAAGUCAGGCUGUUGGCACAAUGUGACCACUGUUGUCCCGGAGCAAAUGUCACCACGGAGGAAACACCUAAAGAACCUGCUCCUCAUCCCUGUAAUAAAAUCUUCAGCUGGAGCUGUGUUGACAGAUUAAGUGUAAAGUAUAUUCCCUCAGAAAUACAGAGGGAAAUCAUUGUGGAUGGGAAGGAAGGCAGCAGGCAAGAGGCCAGAGAGGUGUAAAUGUGUAACUCUGUAAGCAUGCUGUGUGUGAUGAUGGUAUCGCUGCCUGUCUGUCUGCUACACAAGAGAUUUCUUGUGUUUCCUUCUGUCCUCUUCUUUUCUCUCUUCCUCAAAAAUGUUCUGCUCAUAUUUGUCUCCAGCACAGUAAAAUUAAAGAGGACAGAAGAUGCAGACACAGUUAUUAAAAGAAUAGUUCAACAUUUUGGGAAAUACGCUUAUUUGCUUUCUUGCUGAUUGUAAGAUGAGAAGAUUGAUACCACUCUCAUGUCAAAAUAUGUAAGUAUAAAGCUAGAGCCAGCUGCUGGUUAGAUUAGCUUAGCAUAAACAAGAGGCAAACAGCUAGCUGUCAAAAGGGAACAAAAUGAGUGUCUCUAAAGCUCAGUAAUUAACACAUUAUAUCUUGUUUGUUUAAUCUGUGCAAAAAGUGAAGUGUAAAAACUUAAAUUUGUAGUUUUAUCGGAAAGUUAUGAACUGGACCUGGCACCUGGUGAAGCAAUAGUCCUGCACAUAAGUCCUCUUCUCUCCAUAACGCCUCUAGUUUUUGUACAAAUUAAACAAAUCAUAUAAUGUGUUAAUUAGUGAGCUAGAGGUGCUCGUAUAUAUCUGUUUACCCCCUGUUUUCUGUCUUUAUGCUAAGCUAAGUAAACCAGCUGCUGGCUGUAGCAUCAGACAUAAGAGUUGUAUUAAUCUAAUCAUGCAAGCCUCUGCAAGAAAGCGAAUUAUUGUAUUCCCCAACAUGUUAAACUAUUCCUUUAAUUUAAUUAAUUUUGUAGGGCAAAAAUAUUAAAGAACCAUUUAAAUUAAAUACAGUAUUAAUGUGUCUGUUUUUCAGUAAAAUAUUGUAUUGUAAUUCCUAACUCUUGCCAAGUUCCCCCAAAAGUCAAGCUAAUCCUUUAAAGUCUGUAUCGAAGCUUUUAUACACAUGAGGGAAAUUUUCCUAUAUAUUUUGCUCAAUUUGUCAGCCUGUGUAAAUUGAUGUGUACGGUAAGAAGUCUUGUCAAGAUUUAAAAAAAAAAAUCUUUCUGGG